AGAGUUUGAUCCUGGCUCAGGAUGAACGCUAAGGCCUAACACAUGCAGUCGAGGGGCAGCACAGUUAGCAAUAACGGGUGGCGACCGGCGCACGGGUGCGUAACGCGUAUGCAAUCUACCUAUAACAGAGGGAUAGCCCCGAGAAAUCGGGAUUAAUACCACAUAACAUUAGGAUGUGGCAUCACAUUUUAAUCAAAGCUGAGGCGGUUAUAGAUGAGCAUGCGUGACAUUAGCUAGUUGGAGAGGUAACGGCUCACCAAGGCGACGAUGUCUAGGGGUUCUGAGAGGAUGAUCCCCCACACUGGUACUGAGACACGGACCAGACUCCUACGGGAGGCAGCAGUAAGGAAUAUUGGUCAAUGGGCGAGAGCCUGAACCAGCCAUGCCGCGUGCAGGAAGACGGCCUUAUGGGUUGUAAACUGCUUUUGUCGGGGAAUAAACCUAUCUACGCGUAGAUAGCUGAAGGUACCCGAAGAAUAAGCAUCGGCUAACUCCGUGCCAGCAGCCGCGGUAAUACGGAGGAUGCAAGCGUUAUCCGGAUUCAUUGGGUUUAAAGGGUGCGCAGGCGGAUUGGUAAGUCAGUGGUGAAAUUCUAGUGCUUAACAUUAGAGCUGCCAUUGAUACUGUCAGUCUAGAGUAUAGUUGGAGUGGGCGGAAUGUGUCAUGUAGCGGUGAAAUGCUUAGAUAUGACACAGAACACCGAUCGCGAAGGCAGCUCACUAAGCUAAAACUGACGCUCAUGCACGAAAGCGUGGGGAUCAAACAGGAUUAGAUACCCUGGUAGUCCACGCUGUAAACGAUGAUUACUCGAUGUUGGCGAUACACAGUCAGCGUCUGAACGAAAGUAUUAAGUAAUCCACCUGGGGAGUACGUUCGCAAGGAUGAAACUCAAAGGAAUUGACGGGGGCCCGCACAAGCGGAGGAGCAUGGGUUUAAUUCGAUGAUACGCGAGGA
rnacentral:rRNA from 1 species